AACGAACGCUGGCGGCAUGCCUAACACAUGCAAGUCGAACGAUGCUUUCGGGCCUAGUGGCGCACGGGUGCGUAACGCGUGGGAAUCUGCCCUUGGGUUCGGAAUAACAGUGAGAAAUUGCUGCUAAUAUCGGAUGAUGUCUCCGGACCAAAGAUUUAUCGCCCAGGGAUGAGCCCGCGUAGGAUUAGCUAGUUGGUGGGGUAAUGGCCUACCACGGCGACGAUCCUUAGCUGGUCUGAGAGGUUGAGCAGCCACACUGGGGCUGGGACACGGCCGAGACUCUUACGGGAGGGGGCAGUGGGGAAUAUUGGACAAUGGGCGCAAGGCUGAUGCAGCAAUGCCGGGUGAGUGAUGAAGGCCUUAGGGAAGUAAAGCUCUUUUACCCGGGAUGAUAAUGACGGUACCGGGAGAAUAAGCACCGGCUAACUACGUG
rnacentral:rRNA from 1 species